GAUGAAGAACGCAGCGAAAUGCGAUAAGUAAUGUGAAUUGCAGAAUUCAGUGAAUCAUCGAAUCUUUGAACGCACAUUGCGCCCGCCAGUAUUCUGGCGGGCAUGCCUGUUCGAGCGUCAUUUCAACCCUCAAGCACAGCUUGGUGUUGGGACUCGCGUUAAUUCGCGUUCCUCAAAUUGAUUGGCGGUCACGUCGAGCUUCCAUAGCGUAGUAGUAAAACCCUCGUUACUGGUAAUCGUCGCGGCCACGCCGUUAAACCCCAACUUCUGAAUGUUGACCUCGGAUCAGGUAGGAAUACCCGCUGAACUUAAGCAUAUCAAUAGCGGAGGA
rnacentral:misc_RNA from 1 species